AGAAUCAACGCUGGCGGCGUGCCUAACACAUGCAAGUCGCACGAGAAAGGGGAGCAAUCCCUGAGUACAGUGGCGCACGGGUGAGUAACACGUGAAUAAUCUACCUCCGAGUGGGGAAUAACUGAGAGAAAUCUUAGCUAAUACCGCAUAACACUUACGAGUCAAAGCAGCAAUGCGCUUGGAGAGGAGUUCGCGGCCGAUUAGUUAGUUGGCGGGGUAAUGGCCCACCAAGACGAUGAUCGGUAUCCGGCCUGAGAGGGCGCACGGACACACUGGAACUGAAACACGGUCCAGACUCCUACGGGAGGCAGCAGUGGGGAAUUUUGCGCAAUGGGGGAAACCCUGACGCAGCAACGCCGCGUGGAGGAUGAAGCCCCUUGGGGUGUAAACUCCUUUCGAUCGGGAAGAUAAUGACGGUACCGAUAUAAGAGCCCGGCUAACUUCGCGCCAGCAGCCGC
rnacentral:rRNA from 1 species